ensembl:lncRNA
AAUCAUUUCAACAGAAUUUCUGCUGAAAUUCUUAACCGCCAUAGCCAGACAACUGUAAAAGCUUUUCUCUUUAAAUUGUUGUUAUAAAAUCUGUUGUUUUGAAGUUUGAUUGGAAUUUUCUUCCUGUAAAUUUUGAAGGGACAAGGUCAGCAUCCUUCUGUUAAUUCAUUCUCACUAGAUAUGAAGAGUUUUCAAAGAAACAGGAAACAGUUUGACAACUAUUUUUUUAUGAGGUCACCGAAGUCUUACAAGUGGAAGAGAAUGGAAAAGAAAAAUGCAAAUGUGUUCAGUAUUAUUCUACAACUCAAAUCAUAAAAGAGAUGGUAUGAUGAGGCAAAAAGAAGCUCAAGAAAAUGGCAUAAAAUGGUCAUCUAUGAACUUUUAGAUUUUGCCCUCUCAGUAUUUCAGUUUCUUUAUCUAAAGUGAGUAUGGAACUGUGAAGGCAAAUAUAAUGAGUUGUAAGGAAGAUAAUCAGUCUCUCCCUUUCUCUCUCUCCCUUUCCUUGUUUUUCAAUUAAAAUGAAAAUCUUGGUGAAAUGCAAGAACUGCUUAUACUGGAUUAAAGGUAAUAUACAGUGGUACUUCCUUGUUAUGUUAGAGCAAAAUAAUGUAAUAACUACUAAUUUAUACAAUAUACUUAUAUUUAAAAAACAAAAAUACUAUCAAUCAUAGAAAAUAUUGUAAAUACCAAUAAAGUGGUAAAAAAGCUUGAGCGAUUUUCAGGUCCCCAAUGUAGCAACAACUUGUUGAGAAGGGGAUCAUGCCAGCAGAAUUUUAACUCUACAGCCUAGCAACAGCCCAACCCUGUCUGAUCAUCCAGAAAAAGUCCUUUUAAAAUUCACCUUUUUCUAUGUUCACUUCCUAAGACAGGCUCACUGUCUUCUUUGUGAUGACCUCAUGAUUGACCAUAGUUUAUUUCUCUUAUGUCUGAUGUGUUAGCUGACUCAUUUUAGAAUGAGUCUUAAGCUCCUGAAAGAUAGAGACAGUUGUUUUUAAUCUCUGUAGAUCCAGGAACUGACACUGUGCCUGACAUUCAGCAAUUGUUCAAUAAUUGUUUAUUGUUGAAAGAAUAGAAGUCAGCAGAAUAUCUUCCCAAGAGUAUGUUUUAGGUGCUUAUAAGAAUUCCUUUUUCUUUGGAUGGAUAAGGUAGAAGAAAAGGGAAAAAAAAGGGAAAGAGCGAGCGUUCCCUAAAGAAGAACGAGGGAGAGAUUCAUACAAUAAUCUCUCCCCUUCUCUCAGCCAAGGGGAAUACUUUGGUGAGGUAACUCUGGAGGGAUCUGGUAAAGGAGAAAGGCAAGAGAAGGUUGUUUAAAUCUCUGUUGGUCCAAACAGCCACCCGCCUUCUCUUUGUAGUUCAGAGUUUGUUAUCUUAAAUCAUAAUCACUAUAACCCAGUUUAGAAAAGUAUGGCAAGAUAUCAGCCCUGGACUUGCUAAGAAAUUGUUUACUUUGUUGUAAAAUCAAUUCCUAAACAUUUAUAUGGCCUGCAGUGUUUUAAAAGUGAAUGACAAACAAUUCUCAUUUGCCACCGCUGGAGGAGGCAAAUGCACUCAAUCUUCACUCUGAAUAUUGGUAAUUAAAGAAGGAAUUCAAUAUCUAACUUUCCUUCUUGGAGGAAUUUUAAUUCAUCACCAUUUUUAAAUUUCUAAUGAACUGCUGAUUUAGUCAAAGAUCAGAGAAGGCUAAAGCCGUUUGGGGUGAGACUGGUGAGGAGCAGGUUCUGUCCCACAUGUUAUUCCACAGUUAGCUUGGCAAUUAUGUUAUAGCCUUUACAACAUAGAGAUUUAACUGAUCCUCUCUUAACCAUGAUCUAUCUUAGCAAACUCAUGGGAGGACAACCUGCCUUAUUUGCCUUUUGGGCGUUAAUAUAAAGUCAUCACUGCUGAGGUAUUCCUGCCAAAAAUGUUUCAUCCUAUAUACUUGAAAUUUGCUAGGAGGAUAGAUCUUAGAUUAAACCCUCUCACCACAUGCACACACAGAAUGGUAACUAUGUAGAGGUGUUGGAUAAGUUAUUCAGCUUGAUUGUGGUGAUCUUUCCACAAUAUAUACGUAUCUCAAAGCAUGAAAUUUCACACCUUAAAUAUAUACAUUCUUUAUUUGUCAAAGAUUUCUCAAUAAAGUUAUUUUUUAAAAUGUCUCAUCUGAAUCUCAUCAAGACUUUAGACGUAACUUCCAGCUUUACAGAAAUAGAGGAGGUAGAAGAACAAGCUGAACCACGCCAUGAGGAAAUCGUCUUUCUUUCUGAAAUCCGGAAUGUGUGACAUUCCUCAAAACAGCUCGACGAGUCUCUUCAAAAAGCCAGUGUCGUGGGGAAAACAAACACGGGGGUUUGUUACUGAAGUAGAAUUGAGUCUAAAGAGACAUAGCAACCAAAUGCAAUGCAUGAAUCUUGAAUGAAUCCUGAUUUGGAAAAAAAACCUAUUAAAGGCAUUUUGGAGACAAC